CAGAGUGAAGUACAGCGAGGCAGAGAGUAAUACAGCGAGGCAGAGAGUAAUACAGCGAGGCAGAGUGAAGUACAGCGAGGCAGAGAGUAAUACAGCGAGGCAGAGAGUAAUACAGCGAGGCAGAGAGUAAUACAGCGAGGCAGAGAGUAAUACAGCGUAUAUUUUAAUAGCAGAUUUUAUAGUUCACUUUAGCCUAGUGCACACUACAUGAGUUCCCCCUCCAUAACAAAAUCGCUGAGCGUUACCAUGGCAACCGCUAGUGCUGUGUGACGGGUUCAGCAUCGCGAUGCGCAGUUUGUUGAAGACACCCGGAUGUUUUGUUUAAUGCACGUUCAACCUCCCCGUGACGAAUCGUGUAGCGCGGGCCCCUGUACCCCGAGCCGCGGGAACAGUGCAGCAGAUCCCUAACCCAGUGUGACGUGUACACAACAACGGCACUUCUAGAAGAACCCAGACCGCCGCUAUACCUCCAGUUCUCUUCGCAGAACAGACAAGUCUCCCGCACCCAUCCUUCCUGCACCCUCGUUUCUGGUGUUCGGCGUACUCCCCUUCACACCCGGACGGAGACCCACGCUUUCUGGAGGACCGGAGUUCAGCUGUGAAGCUCCAUUUCCUCCUGCUGCUUCAC
ensembl:lncRNA